UACGAAGGGGGCUAGCGUUGUUCGGAAUUACUGGGCGUAAAGCGCGCGCAGGCGGCUAUCCAAGUCAGUGGUGAAAGCCCGGAGCUCAACUCCGGAACUGCCAUUGAAACUGUUUAGCUUGAGGAUGAGAGAGGUGAGUGGAAUUCCCAGUGUAGCGGUGAAAUGCGCAGAUAUCGGGAGGAACACCGGUGGCGAAGGCGGUUCUCUGGGCCUGUACUGACGCUGAGGAGCGAAAGCGUGGGGAGCGAACAGG
rnacentral:rRNA from 1 species